UAAAGUGCUUAUAGUGCAGGUAGUGAGUAAUAAUCUACUGCAUUAGGAGCACUUAAAGU
rnacentral:pre_miRNA from 1 species